rnacentral:lncRNA from 1 species
CCGAUGUCCCCGAUGUCCCCGGCCAUGGCCAGUCCCUGGCUGCCAUCGGCCCUCGGGCUCCUGCUGCUGUGCCUGUGCCUCCCAGGUGGGACUGGGAGAUACUGGGAGGGACUGGGAUGGGGACUGGGUGCCCCUUCCCACCCAGGGGAGGUUCCCCUUCCCACCCAGGGGACUGGGAUGGGGACUGGGAUAUACUGGGAGGGACUGGGAUGGGAACUAGGGUGGAGAUUGGGUUCCCCUUCACACUUGGGGGACAAGAUGGGGACUGGAAUAUACUGGGAGGGACUGGGAUGGGGACUGGGAUGGAGACUGGGUUUCCUUUCCCACCCAGGGGACUGGGAUGGCAACUGAGAUAUACUGGGAGGGACUGGGAUGGAGGCUGGGAUGGAGACUGGGUUCCCCUUUCCACUCAGGGGACUGGGAUGGGGACUGGGAUAUACUGGGAGGGACUGGGAUAGGGACUGGGAUGGAGACUGGGUGCCCCUUCCCACCCAGGGGACUGGGAUGGGGACUGGGAUAUACUGGGAGGGACUGGGAUGGAAACUGGCUUCUCCCUCCCACCCAGGGGACUGGGAUGGGCACUGAGAUAUACUGGGAGGGACUGGGAUGGAGAUUAGGAUGACUGGGAUUGACUGGGAUGGAGGCUGGGGGGGGAUUGGAAAGGACUGGGGAAACUGGGAGGAAGACUUGAGGGAGGGAAAGGAGAUUGUGGGGAACUGGGACGGAGACUGGGAUGGACUGGGAGCGACUGGGAUGGAUUGGGAGCAACUGGGAUGGAUUGGGAGGGACAGGGAUGGAAACUGGGAGGGACUGGGAGGGACUGGAAUGGAGACUGAAAGGACUGGGGGGGGAAGUGGGAGGGACAGGGAUGGAUGGGAUGGAGAUGGGCGGUUACUGGGAUGGACUGGGAUGUACUGGGAGCCGCUGACACCCCCCUCCCCUGCUUUGGCCCCAGAUGCCUCCGGCCGCUGCGACCGGAACUCCCAGUUGGUCCCACUGACGGCCGGGGUGGAUCCCUGCAAGGAUCCCACCGGAUUCCUCAGCCCCCAGCUGGGCGGGGGCACGGCCGGAUCCUACGGAGGCGGAUCGGGAUCCUACGGGAGUGGAUCGGGAUCCUACGGCGGGUCGGGAUCCUAUGGGAGUGGAUCGGGAUCCUAUGGAAGUGGAUCGGGAUCCUACGGCGGCUCGGGAAUAUCCCAGGGGGGUGGAAAGUUUCCAGGAUCCUUUGUGUCACCGGGAUCUUCCGGGGGCAGGCCGGGAUCCUAUGGGAUCAGACCAGCAUCCCACGGGGACGGCUCGGGAUCCUUUGUGUCACCGGGAUCUGGUGGGCCGUCGGGAUCCUACGGACUCGGGUCUUACGGGGGCGGAUCGGGAUCCUACGGUGGCUCGGGAAUAUCCCAGGGAGGUGGAAAAUCUCCGGGAUCCUUUGUGUCACCGGGAUCUUCCGGGGGCAGGCCGGGAUCCUAUGGGAUCAGACCGGCAUCCCACGGGGACGGCUCAGGAUCCUUUGUGUCACCGGGAUCUGGUGGGCCAUCGGGAUCCUACGGACUCGGGUCUUACGGGGGUGGGUCCUAUGGAGGAUCCAGUUCGGGAUCCUAUGGAAGCGGAUACGGAUCAGGAAGACCUGGAUCCCAUGGAGGCAGCGGAUCCGGAUCGGGCAGACCUGGCUCAUCUCAAGGAGGAUCCAGUUCGGGAUCCUCUGGAACCGGAUCAGGAUCAGGGAGACCCGGAUCCCAAGGAGGAAGUGGAUCUGGAUCUUAUGGAGGCGGAUCAGGAUCCUAUGGGGGAUCCACUUCCUAUGGAGGAUCCGGAACCUACGGAGCUGUGCCGGAAUCCCUCGGGGGAUCCUACGGAGGAUCCAGUUCAGGAUUCGGCAGACCCGGAUCCGGAUCGGGAAGACCCGGAUCCGGAUCGUACGGGGGAUCAGGCUCCUAUGGGGGCAGCUCGGGAUCCUACGGGCUCCCUGAGGUCUACGGGGAUGAUUCGGGAUCUUAUGGGGGAUCGGGAUCCUACGGGGGUGGAUCGGGAUCCUACGGAGGAUUGGGAUCCUAUGGGGGCGGAUCGGGAUCCUACGGGGGAUCGGGAUCCUAUGGGGGCGGAUCGGGAUCUUACGGGGGAUCGGGAUCCCAUGGGGGUAACCAGCGCCCCGGGUACAAGAAUCCCGGGAUCCCCUACAUACCGGGGCUGCGGGAUCCCGCCCGGAUCGGGGGCUACAUCCCCAUCCGCCGGGUCCCCUCGGCGGGAUCCACUCAGGGAUACGGAUACGGCUCCGGAUCUGGGGCGGGAUCCGGUUUGGGAUCUGGAUACGGCUCCAGUUCCGGGGUGGGAUCUGGGAUGGGAUCCGGCUCCGGGGCGGGAUCCAGCUCGGGAUCUGCCACCUACAGCUCCUCCAGCAGCGGAUCUGGGAUGGGAUCCAGCAGCGGAUCCGGAGCGGGAUCCGGCCAAUCCCAGUCCAGCUGUGGGACUUGUGACAAAUAGGGACGCCCGGGUCCCUCCUGGGGACUUGGGGGGAUCCCCCCGGCUCCCGUGUCCCAAUAAAGUCAUUGGAUGGCGGCA